UACAGAGGUCUCAAGCGUUGUUCGGAUUCAUUGGGCGUAAAGGGCGCGUAGGCGGCGGGGCAAGUCGGGUGUGAAAUCUCAGGGCUCAACCCUGAAACUGCACUCGGUACUGCUCUGCUUGAGGACUGGAGAGGAGACUGGAAUUCACGGUGUAGCGGUGAAAUGCGCAGAUAUCAGGAGGAACACCGAUGGCGAAGGCAGGUCUCUGGGCCACUACUGACGCUGAGAAGCGAAAGCAUGGGGAGCGAACAGG
rnacentral:rRNA from 1 species